UUUUUUUUUUUUUUGAGAGAUAGGUAGCAUGCUACCCGCUUCGUUUAUUUCAUUUAGAAAUAAACUUAGCAUGAAAUGUGAAUUAACUAGGAUUUGAACUUGGGUCUCGGGUACCAACCACCAAGUCCUUUACUACUUGCUCUAGGGACGGUCGGUUUCAAAGAUUUCGAGUUGAAUUAGGAUAUCAAGUGCUUACUAUAUAUCAAAAGAUUAUCACCUUUU
rnacentral:lncRNA from 1 species